UUAUCGGAUUUAUUGGGUUUAAAGGGUGCGUAGGCGGUUUGAUAAGUUAGAGGUGAAAUCCCGGGGCUUAACUCCGGAACUGCCUCUAAUACUGUUAGACUAGAGAGUAGUUGCGGUAGGCGGAAUGUAUGGUGUAGCGGUGAAAUGCUUAGAGAUCAUACAGAACACCGAUUGCGAAGGCAGCUUACCAAACUAUAUCUGACGUUGAGGCACGAAAGCGUGGGGAGCAAACAGGAUUAGAUACCCUGGUAGUCCACGCAGUAAACGAUGAUAACUCGUUGUCGGCGAUACACAGUCGGUGACUAAGCGAAAGCGAUAAGUUAUCCACCUGGGGAGUACGUUCGCAAGAAUGAAACUCAAAGGAAUUGACGGGGGCCCGCACAAGCGGAGGAACAUGUGGUUUAAUUGGAUGAUACGCGAGGAA
rnacentral:rRNA from 1 species